CGGAUUGCAGGCUGCAACUCGCCUGCAUGAAGUCGGAAUUGCUAGUAAUCGCGGAUCAGAAUGUCGCGGUGAAUACGUUCCCGGGUCUUGUACACACCGCCCGUCACACCAUGGGAGUUGGAAAUGCCCGAAGUCAGUGACCCAACCGAAAGGAGGGAGCUGCCGAAGGCAGGUCUGAUAACUGGGGUGAAGUCGUAACAAGGUAUC
rnacentral:rRNA from 1 species